AAGAAGCUCAGGCCUCUGAGCUGAACUUACGCUGACGCCUUUUCUGUCAGACGUGUCACGAGCGCUCCCACGCAGUAGCACUGCUGACGACAGCUGUGUGUGCUGAUGGUUUUUUUUUAAUCGAUGUUCUUCCCUGCCGGUCUUAUUCCAAGAUUGUCUCCAGCCUUCGUAAAAAAAAAAAAAAAAAUUUAAAAAAUGAAACAAAUCUUUUUGGCAUUUUCAAUUUUAAAAUGUAAUUAAUUCAAUAUCUCCACGUGGGCUUUUUUUUUUAUUUUUCUUCGAAUGAAACGCGAUUGCUUUUUUAUUUUUCUGCCGAUAAAAAGAUUGAGUUUAGUUCAUGAGCAGACAAUUAAUCCCAAUUAGAUGAGCCAGCUGCAGCUCACAGAUUCUUCUACAGUGCCGCACGUAUCUUAAGGACCCUGAAAGGUCAGAAUUCAAUACCGGUGUUUGAGCGAGCAAGCAGCCCCACUCAGCAGCUGAUUAGUGGCUUUUGAAUGCCUCAUUUUCAGCUAAAUGGAAUCAAGCACUGAUAAGAUGUCCACACAGGAAAUCCACAGAAGAAUUGCCACCCUUUUGGCACUCAUUAAACUGUUUAACUUUCAAGGUUGUUUGUGAAUACCUGCCAAUGAAAACCCAUGCGGUGGAGAAGGUGCAGCCAUCGAAGCAAGCGGAAGACGCUACUGAUUUGUUAGGCAUGCAAGACAGCGGAUCUUCCACGCGAGCGCGUCCCUGUUUCGGUAGACAGCGGCACAAAUUAUUCAUCAGCGCAGGAUUUAUUAUUCAAUGCUGGAAUUUCCUGAGGAUGAUGAUGUCAUCGAGCCUGGCGUCAGUUGUUGGUUUUCUGCUAUCGCUGAAUAUUUUGACAACAACAAUAGCAAUGUUACUCGGAUAAGAAAUUGUUCAUUAGAUACGGUCUAACGUUACUAUAGAUUGAGAUGGUAAGUUGUUCCAAGAAAUAUUGAAGAGGAAGAAUAAGUACAUUUGUUGGUCAUUUGACCGAUCUCACUGGUGGCUCAAUUGUUCAUUCUGUAGUCUUUGUUACUCCUGCACCAGUAUAUGUGCACAGCAUUAAAAUAAAUCCCUAGUAAAAUAACAGGUAUGUUUCCAGUAAGUGUUGGGGCAGCUAAAUUGGCCUUUUAGGUUAUUUCUUCUGUGAGAGAGAAGAAAUAGACCUUUUUUUUUUUUGAGCUGAAAGACCGAUGUGCUCAGAAUGCUCAGAUGUAAUGCAAUGCAACCGAGAUGAUGAAACUUGGCACAACCCUUGUGAAAUAUCUUAUGACCCGACGGAUGGAAAUGCCACAUUUCACAACUAGAAAAAACCUAUUGUUGUACUGUGAAAUGCGCUUGCAAAAUAUUUGGGAAUGGUCACUGGUUUUGCAGCAGUAGCUCUGUGUAUUAGUCAUUAACCCUUGGAAGAAUAUGUUUUUUUCCAAGUCAGUGUGUUCUAGAACUCUUUUGCUUUCAAUCACCAGUAGUGAUUGUGACAUCAGCAUUUGAAUGUUCCGAAAAGAACAUUCUAAUCACAUAUUUCUGAUCUUACACCUUAAAGCACCGGUUCUCAAACCUUUUAAUAUCAGGACCCAAAUGAGAAAUUUGUACCUUUCAGGGACCAAUCAAAUACGCUAGACUAGCUCAGUAGACUACAGACUCAUUCAGAGCCCCACAUCACACAUACCCACAAACCCAUUUUGGGUCCUGAUCCAUAGUUUAUGAAACACUGCCUUAAAGGGUUAAUUGGGAGCAGCUAGCAUUCACAUUGGUUGCACAGUAACCAGAAUGAACUGCAUUUUCAUAUUUUUACUCGAUGAAUCACCCUUUAAGUAUUCUGUCUCCUUUUCUGUACCUGCAUUGUCCCCCUUCUUCAUGACCUAUUAUUUCUGUUCAUUAAAGCCAAUCAGUGACUUUUAGCUGGAGGACUUAUUUCAGCAUGGAAUGAGAUUAACUGUCACAAAAUGAAAAUUUUUCCUUCGUGCAAUAUCCCUGUUUAAUAAGAGGUAUGCUGAAGAUGUUAUACCAUGUGCCCACCGCUCUCUGUCAGAGCCUAUUACUGAAUGUGCUGCUUGAGUUUGUGUUAUGCGCAUACAGUAUCUGUUUCUCUGUUUCAUGUCUUUCCCAUGAAUUUUUGUUCAAGUUUUUAUAUACUUUCACUCGAUUCUUUUGUAUUUUGUUUUUAGAUUUAUUUAUGCAUCAUGCACAUUUAAUUUGUGUUUUUCAUAAAGUGUCAACCAGACAAAGCAAUUGGAUCAAAUCAACAAAUUAGUCCAUUUGAAACUGGCUUCAGCUUUGUGAAACAGGCUUCAGCUCUGUGAAACGUGGUUCAUAUUUCUGAAACGGUUCAGCGGUGUGAAACAGGUUCGGCUGUGUGAAAUGGGCUUCAGCUUUGUGAAAUGGGCUUCAGCUUUGUUAAACGGGCUUCAGCUUUGUGAAACGGGCUUCAGCAUUGUGAAAUGGGGUUCAGCUUUGUUAAACGGGCUUCAGCUAAACCAGCUUUACCGUUCAGGCGUUCUGUUGGGCUCAGAUCACGGGGCGUAUAACGAUGCAUUUCCUCUCUGGCCUCGGGCCGGAUGAUUGCAUUCAGCCAGAGCUGCCUCUGGAGCGCACGGCCGCGGUCCGAGGACAGGGCCCGGGAUCGUAAUGGAGAAUGACGCGUAUUAAUUCCAUCCAUUCCAUUCCGUCCGUCUGGCCUCCUUCCACCUCACCGCUCAGGACGGACUGCAGACUGCUCCCCUCGGUGUAUCGCGGCGCAUCUCGCUGGACCGUGAAUUAAUUACCAGGUCCCAGCCAUCAAUAACUGUUAUCAUUUCUCGUCCAGAUAUUGUGACUAACAGCAUCCAGGGCAGGUAAUAUAAUUAAAAUUUACAGUGUAUGAAAUUUAAUCAUUUAAAAAAAUAUUAUUAUCAGCUCGGAACAGCAAUUCUAUUUUUUCUAUGUCUUAUCAAGCAAUAUCCACGUUUAUCUAAAAAAAAAAAAACGAUGAUAGCACAGUUAUAUCAUGGGACAUGUGGCUGAACAGAAUGUAUUCAGUAUAUUUAAAUGGAAUUAAUCUUUCUUGCAUUGUUCCUUUUCCCCCAAAUAUUAAUAGUAUUCAAGGGAGGCUUCUUGCAGGGACUAAUUGGUUAUGGGUGGUAAUUUGGUGACCGUCCAUGUAUGUGUGGUCAU